GUGCUUGUGUGACUUAGGCAUUUUUAUUCAAAUAAUAGUUUCUCCACAGUAGAUGGUUUUAGUCAAUGGCUCCAUAGCGAGGCUAUCCAAAAAGUACUGACAGGAGGUAAGACACAGAGCGCUGUUUCAUCCAUCAUAAAUACAUUUGUAUGUCACCGAUGUUUCGGUUAGUGAACCGUGCGAGUGAAAUAACGGUAAUCCCGCCAGGCAGCUGCACUACAGCGUCACGCGAAUUACGUUGCGUUGGAGAUGCGUCACUGAAAGUUCAUAGUGAAAUCAUCGCUACCGAUAAGAAGAACCAAAUGGAGCCACCCAAAAACCCCGGGAACGAUCUGGCCAGAGGGUCUGAAAGGGUAUGUGAUGAGCUCGGCCGUUUGCUCAGUGACGCGGUCCACCUCCGGGCUGAUUCUGGAGCUUUAGGUGUGAGGAGAUUCUUCACCGCCUGAGGAGGGACCAUUGCCAGGAGCGCAGAGACGGAGCCCAGUGAAGAGCAACAUGAAGACGGUUCCUCUCGUGGAAAUACAUUUUUUUGUCUGUUCCUACAUUAAACCCAUUAAAUCGUUUAUUAUGCUGUGUUUGGUGUUUGCAGUGAAUAUUAGUGACUAUUAAUGUAGUACUAUAGUGAUCUGAGUAUUUUAUUAUAUUUGUAAUAUAUUUAUAUUUUCUACAAAACUGUUUGUUUUGGAUCCCUGGGGUCAAAACCAGACCUGCUGGGGGGUGUCCCUACCAUCCAGCAACAUGCAACGGGCCCCUGAACUGGAAACCAUCAUGUUGUAGUGAAACAUUAUGUUGACAAAUGUUUUUGAGAAUACUAGAAAAUUACAGCAGAGGAUUAUGGCCACUGCAUAAAAUUGAUUUGAGAAAAAAAAGUCAGAAUUCUGAGUUUAAGGUCAGAAUUCAAAUAAGUUUUAUGCAUAUAGCCUAUGUUGGCACACAUACUUAACAGCCACACAGAGAGACUGUUUUCUCCACUUAAGUAAUGAGUACUUUGCAGAUGCCAUAGUCACUCAGCAAUUCUUUAAAAAAUGACUUCUCAGUAUUAAUGAAAUAUCAACAAUGGAGUUAGGUAAUGUGAACGUAUGACCAGGCCGCACUGUCAUUCUGGCCUGGUUCUGUUAUGUACCGACAUCGUGAGAAAUAUUGCAAAAUCCAGUGUCACGUGAUAUCAUCACGCCCCUAGUGUUUAUUUCUGCAUAUAUGACACCAAGCUACAAGGUGCUACUUUUGACUCAAACAAAGAUGGCCACCAGGAGUAAAUAUUCCACGUGCUAUCUAUGUUUUUGAUUUGUAGUGGAGGUCUAACUUUAUUCUGUAAAAGUGAUCAAAUCCUAUUUCACUGUAUGCUGAAGAAAGUGUUUGAUGAAGGUGGGGACUAGGGGGUGUCAAAAACAUUUUAAGUAAGUUAUAGUAAAUGUCAUGAAGUAAAUACACAGCUGGCAGCUUACUGUGACUUUCUGGCCAGACACCAGCAGUGA